AGCGAACGCUGGCGGCAGGCUUAACACAUGCAAGUCGAACGCAUCCUUCGGGGUGAGUGGCAGACGGGUGAGUAACACGUGGGAACGUACCUUUUGGUUCGGAACAACUGAGGGAAACUUCAGCUAAUACCGGAUACGCCCUUAUGGGGAAAGAUUUAUCGCCGAAAGAUCGGCCCGCGUCUGAUUAGCUAGUUGGUGAGGUAAUGGCUCACCAAGGCGACGAUCAGUAGCUGGUCUGAGAGGAUGAUCAGCCACACUGGGACUGAGACACGGCCCAGACUCCUACGGGAGGCAGCAGUGGGGAAUAUUGGACAAUGGGGGCAACCCUGAUCCAGCCAUGCCGCGUGAGUGAUGAAGGCCUUAGGGUUGUAAAGCUCUUUUAUCCGGGACGAUAAUGACGGUACCGGAAGAAUAAGCCCCGGCUAACUUCGUGCCAGCCGCCGCAGUAAGAC
rnacentral:rRNA from 1 species